rnacentral:rRNA from 1 species
AUUGAACGCUGGCGGAAUGCUUUACACAUGCAAGUCGAACGGCAGCACGGGGGCAACCCUGGUGGCGAGUGGCGAACGGGUGAGUAAUACAUCGGAACGUGCCCGGUCGUGGGGGAUAACGUAGCGAAAGUUACGCUAAUACCGCAUACGAUCUGAGGAUGAAAGCGGGGGACCUUCGGUCCUCGCGCGAUCGGAGCGGCCGAUGUCAGAUUAGGUAGUUGGUGGGGUAAAGGCCUACCAAGCCGACGAUCCGUAGCUGGUCUGAGAGGACGACCAGCCACCCUUGGACCUGAGACCGGCCCCAACCUCUUCGGGAGGCAGCAGUGGGGAAUUUUGGACAAUGGGCGCAAGCCUGAUCCAGCCAUUCCGCGUGAAGGACGAAGGCCUUCGGGUUGUAAACUGCUUUUGUAUGGAAAGAAAAGGCUCUGGCUAAUACCUGGGGCUCAUGACGGUACCGUAAGAAUAAGCACCGGCUAACUACGUG